UUGACCUCGGAUCAGGUAGGGAUACCCGCUGAACUUAAGCAUAUCAAUAAGCGGAGGAAAAGAAACCAACAGGGAUUGCCUCA
rnacentral:rRNA from 1 species